rnacentral:rRNA from 1 species
UACGAAGGGUGCAAACGUUGCUCGGAAUCAUUGGGCGUAAAGCGCACGUAGGCGGCUUCGCAAGUCGGAUGUGAAAUCCCGUGGCUCAACCAUGGACGUGCAUCCGAAACUGCGAGGCUUGAGUAUGGAAGAGGGUCGCGGAAUUCCCGGUGUAGAGGUGAAAUUCGUAGAUAUCGGGAGGAACACCAGUGGCGAAGGCGGCGACCUGGGCCAAUACUGACGGCUGAGGUGCGAAAGC